UUGCUAACUUGGGCAGCACACGCACCAAAAUUGGAACACUAAAGAGAAGAUUAGCACGGCCCCUGCACAGGGAUGACAUGCAAAUUCAUAAAGUGUUCCAUAUUUUU
ensembl:snRNA U6 U6 spliceosomal RNA